rnacentral:lncRNA from 1 species
AAACAAUCAAACAAACAUGCGAGAGGGAAAAGAGAGAGAAUCUUUAACGUGGGCUUUGAGCAUAAAAUAAGAUAUAUGAUUAUGCUAAAGAGAACGUACGACGAAGUGGGAAAGAUUGACGACAGUCCAAGCCAUGCCAGGAGUGCAGCCGAAGAUGGAGAGAACCAGCAGCCACGCGAAGAAUAGGAUCAAUAUGUAGGUGGUCCAUACACCCGGGUAGGUGAACCACUCCGUAUUCCGGUUCAGAUCCGCCGGUGGCACUGCCUUCACGUAUAGCUUCGCCAUCGAAACCAACCCCUCCUCUUCUUCUUUUUCUUCUUCUUUACUCAGACCCCGCAACCCAGAUCAAUUUUCGCUUUUGGGGUAAUACUGCUAUAAUUAGUCUUCUAAGACCCACUAUAUUAUGGCUAAUCUUGCAAUCAAUCCAAGCUAUAGAAUUAGAACGAAAGGAUGGUUAGGAUGAGCCAUCUACCCUCUAAACUGAUUUGUGGGCAUCUUAACCUUCUCUCGCUUUCUCCCUUUCUUCUUUUUCUGCGCCUGACGUAAUGAAUGUUAUGGCUCCCUAAAUGUAAGGCUUAGAUAUUUCCUUCUCCUUUGUCAUAUUAUGUCCCUUUAUGUUAUAGAUGAUAAUUGCAAAAAGUUCGUAGAGUAAUUUGAUAAUAUUUAUUGUUUUAAAAAUAAUUUAAUUAGCAUUGCAAAUACAAAGGAAUAAAUGCCUUUGUUUUUUUUUCAUGUUUAUUAUAUAUAUAUAGUGUAUGAGGGAAUACCUUGACAAUUUUCUUGUACUUGAUUGCAUAUUCAUCUUUGACAUUUUUUUUUACUAUAAAGGGAUGCCCACAAUUUAAAAGUUUUAUCUCUUGAUUUUUUUCACGAUUUAUUUAUUUUAUUACCAUCCCAUGAGUAACGUUUUCAUAAUACUUUUUUUUAGUUGAUCAAUUAGGAAACAAAACGAUUAUAAAUAAUGAUACCACGGUGAAGAUCCUUAAUUAGAACUUCAAGAUAAGUUCAAGUAUCAAAUUAGUUAGAGCUAAAAGUUAGGAACUAAAUCGAUAUUAACGAAAUGGUUUAGGAGUGAAAUUGGCCAUUGUCCCCAAGUAUUUGCUUGUAAAAUUCAAAAUGGGGAAUUUCCUAUCAAGCUUUUUUAUGGGGGGUUGAGUGUUAGUUUGGUCAAUGACGCAGCAAACAAAAAUUCUCUAACCAUUGGGUUCUAGCCUAAUAACCACCAAGAAAAGGGAUUAAUCCCAAGGGUGGCAAUAUGGGCGGGUGCCCACAACGUAGAAAUGGGGUGGGGGAGAAAAUUCUCCCCUGGACGGGGCGGGGCAACAUACACCCGUUCCAUCCUACGUCCUGUCCCACGCAUACAAAUAUAUAUAUAUAUAUAUGUUUAAAUUUAUAGAUAUAUAUAAUACAUAUAUAUAUAUAUAUACAUAAUAUAAUAAUUUAGUUAUAACUCAAUUCUUUAUAUUUAAUAAUAUAAUUAAUAACAUAAUCACGAGUAUACAAUCAUGACUUGAUUCUAUUACAUCUCAAUCAAAUAUUUUAAUGUCAUUUUCAUGGUAUUGAUAGGUUACUAAUUUUCUUUAGUUAUUAGUAUUUGCAACUUGUUGAAUGGUCUAAGGUUGAGCAUUUAAGCGUGUCUUUAUUGAAUAUUUUGAGAUAGAAUGAAUGAUAAAAUUGUCCCUGUAGAUGAGUAAAUUGUUAAAUAUGAUAGAUUUAUUACUUUCCGCGAGAAAAAUGGGGUAGGGUCGGGGGAAGUUAUUUGACAAUGGGACGAGGGAACCGCCCUAUUGCCACCCUUAAUUAAUCCCUUCCUAGGUGUAGAUCCCCGGCAUGCAUGUCAAGUGCUAGGGCGUACCCCAGGGUUUAGCGGAUCGCCUGCCCAAUUCUCGCCAGGACUCACUCACUCACUUCAAAUAUAAUAGGUUAUAAUCUCAAGAGUAAAAGAAAUACCAGUUUCCAACCUUGGAACAUACAUGUACUUUCAUUUCUAUUUCAAACAUUCGUACAAUUCCACAUAUAUCAAAAGAUAUGAGUUUCAGAUACAUUCAGUUCUAAUGGAGCACUAGCGCGAGUACAAUCGUAAAAUUCAAAACUACUAUACUACGCUAGCUUGUACCAGUCUCACGUCUCGCUCGUACCCCCUGUAAGGAAAAUAAAUGGCGUGGAAUGAGUUAAAAAUCCAGUGAGGUUCCAAAUAGCAAGUUGAUCAAUAUUGAAAAAUACAAAUAUCACGUAGCAAAAUAGCGAGCAUAUCAAGUUCAUGAAAGUGAGCAAUAACAUUUCGAAUAACAAUCAAUGUAUAAGGAUACAGAUGGCUCUCAGGAGCCAUUCUCCACGAACUUGAUCAAAAUUAACUGCAGUUGACCCUCCGUCAACUUUCACUAUCUAAAGUCCAAAUAAAUCCUUUUUUUUUUUUCUCAACACACUCCGACCAACUUACUCCCACCGGGCCCGUUCUUCUCACGAGAGGGUUUGGUAUUACUCGAGUAUACCUUUUUAUAGCCUAGUCGAGGGAUUCACCCAACGACGUCACAACAAGUGGUCACCAAGUCAGGAUAAGAGGCCCUCCCACCCUAAGGUGUGGUACAUUCCCCUGCCUGGUGGUUUAGUUGACGAGUCCACGCUCCAGUCAACAGUUGCAAGGUUUUGGUACUUGAGUUAAGAUAAGAGGCCCUCCCACCCUCAGGUGUGGUACAUUCCCCCACUCAGUACUUAGCUGGGGUUUCAGGGUUUUUGGUACUUGAGUUAGGAUAAGAGGCCCUCCCACCCUCAGGUGUGGUACAUUCCCCCACUCAGUACUUAACUAGUGCAAGCAAGAUAUUCGAGGAAAUAUUUCAAGCAAAUCACCACUCGAAAGGGUUAGUGCGAUAAAGUACACACUGCCCUCUUCGAUGGAUCAGAAAAACCACUUUCCAAUUAUCACAUAACAAGUCAAGAAAGCACUUUAACAAGAUAAAUAUAGAACAAGCAAGGACACUUACCAAAGAUUUAGUGCUUGUCAAAAUCACGUUCAGGUGUAACUCCUUGGUUGGAGUCCAAAUCUUUUCUCUCCUAAAGCUUGAUAAUUACAGAUCACUUUCCUCUCCCUCAGCUCUGGCUCCUCCAACUCUUGCACCUGCUAUUUUUUUUCCCCCACUGAUGUAGCUGAUACGCGAAGUUGCCGACUGUUUUUCUCUUCUUACUCACUCGGUUAUGGCUGGAAGGAACCAGAGAUGCUCCUUCACUCUCACUCUCUUUUACAGUUUCAGGUAUGAAGAAAAAAGAAAGCUUCGUUCUCUGUUUUCUUUCUUUUGUUUCCUCUCGGUUGAUGAUACCAGAGUAGCUGAUCACUCAAACUUCCUCUUCAGUCGGUGGUGAUAAUUCCAAAGCUCUCCACUCAGCUUCUACUUAGUUCUAGAACUCAGGUAUCCAACUGGUCGCACGGUAAAUUAGCUAGGAUGAAGGGUUAGUUAGGUCAUUUGAUAUCCACUUAUUUGCUUACUAAUGGCUGUGAUUUUAUUAACUCACACAUUAACUCCCAACCUCAUUUGUAUUUCCUUAAUCCAUUAGAUUCUCACACAUUUGGUUUUAUAGGAAAUUCACUAGACAUGCAACUCGUUCAACUAUAAUAUAUUCAAAUCACACAAAUUACGGUAUGCAUAUCAUAUGUUUAUUUGAUUCAUAUAAUUUUUUAAUUUUAAUUUUAAUUUUAAUUUUUUGACAUCAUUCUAGGAUAUUUCUAAAUUCUCAAUUUCUAGAAUAAUUAAAUUUAGUCAUUGAAUUUGAUCAAUUAUUUGUUAUCUAUAAUAUUUCAAAUGACGAAAUAAGCGCAAUAAUGGCUAAAUCUAUUCAAGAUUUUCUUGAGUUAUCACAUUCUUCCCCCCUUAAGAAAAUUUCGUUCUCGAAAUUUUACACUGUUAAUCGUAAAAAGUUACGGGUAUUCUUUCCUUAUUUUAUCUUCCAAUUUCCACGUCACUUCGUCUAAUCAUUCAUGUUUCCACCAAAAUCUUAACCAAAGAGAUUUGUUUCUUAGCGUUUUCUCUUUCCGAUUUAAGUUGAAAGUGAGCAAUAACACUUCGAAUAACAAUAAAUGUAUAAGGAUACAGAUGGCUCUCAGGAGCCAUUCUCCACGAACUUGAUCAAAAUUAACUGCAGUUGACCCUCCGUCAACUUUCACUAUCUAAAGUCCAAGUAGAUCCUUUUUUUUUCUCAACACACUCCGACCAACUUACUCCCACCGGGCCCAUUCUUCACACGAGAGGGUUUGGUAUUACUCGAGUAUACCUUUUUAUAGCCUAGUCGAGGGAUUCACCCAACGACGUCACAAUAAGUGGUCACCAAAUCAGGAUAAGAGGCCCUCCCACCCUAAGGUGUGGUACAUUCCCCUGCCUGGUGGUUUAGUUGACGAGUCCACGCUCCAGUCAACAGUUGCAAGGUUUUGGUACUUGAGUUAGGAUAAGAGGCCCUCCCACCCUCAGGUGUGGUACAUUCCCCCACUUAGUACUUAGCUGGGGUUUCAGGGUUUUAGGUAUUUGAGUUAGGAUAAGAGGCCCUCCCACCCUCAGGUGUGGUACAUUCCCCCACUCAGUACUUAACUAGUGCAAGCAAGAUAUUUGAGGAAACAUUUCAAGCAAAUCAUCACUCGAAAGGGCUAGUGCGAUAAAGUACACACUGCCCACUUCGAUGGAUCAGAAAAAUCACUUUUCAAUUAUCACAUAACAAGUCAAGAAAACACUUUAACAAGAUAAACAUAGAACAAGCAAGGACACUCACCAAAGAUUUAGUGCUUGUCAAAAUCACGUUCAGGUGUAACUCCUUGGUUGGAGUCCAAAUCUGCGAUACAAUAUCAUUUAAAAGCUUGAAAUCACUAGAGUUCGGAACUUCAGAGUUUCGCUUUAAACAGAUCAAGUAAAUGAAACUCGUUUAGAUAGGAUUCACGUUAUGUAUCAAACACUAGAAAAUUCAUGCUCGCUCUUUUGGUGUUGCUAAAGAAGCAACUAAAACUUUGGAAUUCGCAUUUGAGUCUAAAAGACGAAGAAAAUAUAUUCCAAGUGGUCACCACUUUCAUUUUUUCCAAAGGUAUGAGUUUCGGCCAAAUUUUAGCUUAUAUACCUUGACGAAAGAAGACUCGAAUACCAUAGACAAUCCAAGUUCAAUUCGACCUCAAAUCUUCACUCAAACCGCGAGUACACACGCCUAACCUUCGAGUGAAAAUGUGGGCAGCAUGCCCUUUGUAUUUAGCUAUUUUCCAGUCAUUUAUGGCUUCAUUAGUUUCCUCAACUCACCCCAAUUCAGCAUACAAGCAAGCUCAAAACAAUAGCUAUUCAACUAGACUCAAUAUUAUCCACUUACAAGUCAAUUCGAGCAGUGCAACCAUCCAAAUCAAAGCUAGAAGUUAGAAACUAGUUUUAAAGACAACUAGCCACACAGUAGGUUUGACAUCUCUCGGCAGUCACAACUGAAGCUAUGCUUAUCGAAUUGGGGUAAAUUUUAUGGCGUUUCGAAACUAAGACAGAGGCCUAUAUUUCCUAUGAAAACACCAACACCCAGUUCUUGCAUCUUCAAGGUCAAAAUCGCAAUCUCAGAGAAAACAGAAGACUGUCAGCUAAUCUGGGUAUUUGGGUAGUCAAGGGUAUUUUAGUUAUUUCAUUAAAUAAAGUGCUCCAAUUGAGUUGAAAUUUUACAGGUAACUAGCUAACUCAAUUCCCUAAAACUUUCAUGUUUUUAGCAAGAACUGAUUUGUUCUUUAUCAUGGACGAAUAUGCAGUUCCAGUUGGGUCCAAAAACUGGGCAGAGUCACUAACCCUAGCUGAAAUUCGUUAAUCUUCACCAAAACUAGAGUAUCAUCCAAUAUAAUUCAAGAUUCAAGUCAUCUAUCCAAUAAAAUGCAACAUAAGAGAGAGAAUAAGAGUUUCUUAGCAAAAUACCUUCAAUCUCAAACUAAGUCGAGUGCGAUGAAGUACACUCCCGACUUAGAAGACGAGGGACAAUUGAAAACACUUCACAAUGAAUCACUUAGCAAUAUUCAUAAUACAUACACAUAAACAGUUAACACAUAAUUCGGAAAACACUCACCAAGGAUUCAAAUGACUACUCUCGAGUCUCAAGUUGGUUUCCUGGUUCACGGCUACUUCCUAGUACAAGUUAAUAAGUUCAAAGUAAAUAUAUAAUUUGUAGUUGAUUAUUUGUUAUUCUUUUAUUUAAACUUAUUAAAAUCAAGUUUGACCUUAAAAUACAACCAUAACAUUCCCAAUAUUUAUUUAUCAUUUUAUUUUCGAAACUUAUUGACUUUAUUAUUUUUAAACCAUGAAAUACCUAUCUUCAAGUUUAUAAACUUGUAUAAUGUUUAAACUAAUAUACUUUCUCAAUCCAGUAUUAAUUAUGGCUUAUAGAUACUCCAUUUUCCCUUUUAAGACUAACUAAGCUCUAGGUUGUUUGUGAAUUAAAUUUUGUUUCACAACCUUAACUUCUCAAGUUUUAUAGUCUCUUAAAUAUUAUAAAAACUAAUUUAAGUGAUUAGGAGCUAUUUCGUGUAUAUAGCUAUAACAAAUUACCUUAGAGUUUCUAAAACAUUAUAUGAGUCUUAAUCUCAUUACCAAUUCAACCAUUCAACAUAAUUCAGCAAUAUUACUUUCAAAUCCAUUAGGUUUGGUAGCUCUAAAACAAGGUUAACGUACAUAUAUAAAUUUUAAGAUCUUAUAAAACAUGUGAGCUAAGAUUAAAUCAUUUCAUUCUAAUCUUAAUAAUUGAAGCUGAUGGAACUUUUAUUUCUUCCCUUUUAGACUGAACUAGACUCUAGUUUGCAUGUUAUUCCUAUUUGUUCCACUUCACUAGCCCUUCGAGUUUUAAAUUCCUUAAAAUAUUCAAAACAAGGUUAAGAUGC